GACGAACGCUGGCGGUGUGCUUAACACAUGCAAGUCGAACGGUAAGGCCCUUUCGGGGGUACACGAGUGGCGAACGGGUGAGUAACACGUGAGUAACCUGCCCUCAUCUCUGGGAUAACAGUCGGAAACGGUUGCUAAUACUGGAUAUGAGCUUGCAAGGCAUCUUGUGGGUUGGAAAGAUUUUUUUGGUUGGGGAUGGACUCGCGGCCUAUCAGCUUGUUGGUGCGGUAGUGGCUCACCAAGGCUUCGACGGGUAGCCGGCCUGAGAGGGCGACCGGCCACAGUGGGACUGAGAUACGGCCCAAACUCAUACGGGUGGCAGCAGUGGGGAAGAUUGCACAAUGGACGGAAGUCUGAUGCAGCAACGCCGCGAGCGGGAUGACGGCCUUCGGGUUGUAAACCGCUUUCAAUUGUGACGAAGCUUUUUGUGACGGUAGCAGUAGAAGAAGCACCGGCUAACUACGUG
rnacentral:rRNA from 1 species